rnacentral:rRNA from 1 species
CUCGAACACAGAAGUUAAGCCCUACUGCGCCGAUGAUACUGCAUGGGAGACUAUGUGGGAAAGUAGGUCGCCGCCGAAA